rnacentral:rRNA from 1 species
AUUGAACGCUGGCGGCAGGCCUAACACAUGCAAGUCGAGCGGAUGACGGGAGCUUGCUCCUUGAUUCAGCGGCGGACGGGUGAGUAAUGCCUAGGAAUCUGCCUGGUAGUGGGGGACAACGUUUCGAAAGGAACGCUAAUACCGCAUACGUCCUACGGGAGAAAGCAGGGGACCUUCGGGCCUUGCGCUAUCAGAUGAGCCUAGGUCGGAUUAGCUAGUUGGUGGGGUAAUGGCUCACCAAGGCGACGAUCCGUAACUGGUCUGAGAGGAUGAUCGGUCACACUGGACCUGAGACACGGUCCAGACUCCUACGGGAGGCAGCAGUGGGGAAUAUUGGACAAUGGGCGAAAGCCUGAUCCAGCCAUGCCGCGUGUGUGAAGAAGGUCUUCGGAUUGUAAAGCACUUUAAGUUGGGAGGAAGGGCAGUAAGCUAAUACCUUGCUGUUUUGACGUUACCGACAGAAUAAGCACCGGCUAACUCUGUGCCAGCAGCCGCCGUAA